rnacentral:lncRNA from 1 species
UCGAAGGGUCACUUCCAUAGAACUCAGAACCAACUGCCACGACUUCAUCAAAUCCUUCAAUAUGGAGCUCUUCUAGAGAUGGCAGCUGCCCCAAUGGUGGUAAGAGGAUGCAGUUCUUACAUCCAUAAAGAAACAACACUACCAUAUUUGAGAAAGAAGAGUUUCCAAGCCAGCCUGGAAACGUUGUACCCCGUAACCAGUAAUGGCAAGCUGUUUCACAUUUUCAGAAGGCUCCAAUUUCUCAAGUACUUCUCUCUCGUGUGGUGUGUCAUCCGUAUUGCCAUCCCACGUCAACCCCAACUCCUCAAUCUUCUUCUUACCCUUCAAAUCGGCAUCCAAAGCAUCUUGAGCAUUUGCAACAUCUCUGAGAUUCCGAAUAGAAAGUUUUUUCCUUAUAUGUGAGAGCUUCCCCAACUCUUUCAUGCUAGACCCGCUAUCUUUUCCCACGAUGUAAGAUUCCAAAAUUCGAAGCUUCGUGAGUUUCCCCAUUUUUGGUGGCAUCUCUUUCAAAUUUGUCCCUUCAAUAUCAAGAUGUUGUAAGUCGACCAAGUUGGAAAGGUUGGAUGGCAACUCCAUGAGAUGUCGGCACUCUUUAACAAUAAGCUUUGCAAAUAGUACAAGGUGCACACACUUUCAGGUAACCUUUCAAUGGCGGUGCAAGAAAGGUCCAAGUGCCGCAAAUGUUUUCAAGUUGCCAAUGGAAUUGAGCAACUGAGAAGAAAUAUCUUUUAGAUGAAUAAAGAUAGCAUUCGCAAGCGCUUAAGAUUUGGCAAGAUGUCAUUCAGUGCCUCAUAUCACUUCCCUUAAAAACAUAGUGGAAACAAGGCGCGCAAAUGUUGGACUCCAUGAAUGCUACGAAAUAUCCGAAGUCCUCGUCAUAUGCUCCUGAAGUGAUUGAUAAAUAACGAGUCCUUUCUGGAAGCGAGCAUGAAUGUUCACCCUCCAACCCAGAGCCCGAUUCAUUAAUACCAAGCUUAAAGCAAAAUUCUCCUGACACGUAUUCAGCUAAAUCACUUAUGAUGUCAUGCAUGCUGAAAUCUGAUUGAACAUGAAGUGAUUGCUGGAAAAGUGACCUGGAGACAAGAUCAUCAAAGUAUUUUUCACCUAUAUCUUCCAUCUCCUCAACUCCUCUGGACUGGCCUAAAAAACCAUGUGCCAUCCAUUCAGUGAUUAAUCCAUUUUUCUUGAAUACAUAACUCUUGGGAAAUAUUGCACAAUAAACAAAACAACGUUUCAGGUGUGAAGGGAGAUAAUAAUAGCUCAAUGUUAGAGCUGGAGGGAUGUUUUCAUUCGACAAUCCCCACAAACUGCUAUUGGAUAUCUUCUCCCAUUGCCUGACAUCUCCUACGGAGUGCAAAAGACCCCCAAGAGUUUUCGCUGCCAGCGGUAAACCUUUGCACUUUCUCGCUAUUUCUCUGCCAAAUGCUUCCAAGUGUGAGACUGCUCCAGAAUUUACACCACUAAAUGCAUCCCUUGCAAACAAUUUCCAGCAAUCUUCAUCGCUUAUUACAUCCAAGCGGUGAGAGGGGAUGACUGUUUGCGUGACUUUUGCUACAUCUUCAUUCCGUGUUGUCACGACAAUCUUACUUCCGUGCUCCACAUACAGCAAAGGUAGCAGUAGUUUAUCCCAUUCAUUGUACUUAAUGUUCCACGCGUCAUCUAGAACAAGUAGAAGUUUCUUCCCUUUCACUGCCUCCAUUAGAGAUUCAUCUGGUUCUUUGGUGCGGCAAGUACUUGCGUUGAUCUUAUCAAGAAUAUCCUUAAUAAUCCUGGCAACAUCAAAUUGUUGGAAGCCCAGACCCAGGCUUUGAGCUCGAAGCACUCAUCUAUCGUUGUAGAUAAGCUGAGCAAGAGUGGUUUUACCAAUCCCGCCCAUGCCCACAAUGGAACGCACAACUAAAUUUGAGCCAUCUGUGUUGUGUUGUGUCAACAAGUGCUCCAUUAUGGCUUCCUUAUCAGCGUCCCUUCCAUAUACAUAGAGAUUCAUUAACCAGUGGAGUUGUUUUCUCUGACAAUGGUCUCCAUCCACCAGUACCUUCUAUGUGGCGCAGAUCACCCUUGUGUUUAAGUAAACGUUCAAGCUUCUCAAGGAUCUUUUGUAACUCUGCUUCCAUCUCUUUCAUCCUUCUAUUAGCUGGAUUUAGAAAUGGAAACCGAUCCUUACCUGCAAUGGUGGACUAAAUAUGUGAGAUAGAAUUCAGGAAAACAUUAUAAUUUAUAAUAUCAAAACAUAAACAUUAAGAUUUUUACAUCUAGUGAAUUAAUAAGUUAAUACCAUUAAAUUGUUGAUGCUAUAAACAUUAAGAUUUUUACAUCUAGUGAAUUAAUAAGUUAAUGCCAUUAAAUUGUUGAUGCUAGCUUAACGUAAUUAAGCAGUGAAAGUCAAGUUUUAAAAAGAUAUUGAUUCAAUGCCAUAAGUGAUUUUCAUAGCCCUUACUAUAUAAUAUUAUUUAUAUAUAUAUAAUGAAAUUAAUUUUUUUUCUAAAAUAAAAAUGGAAAAAUAAUUGUUUAGCAAUUAAAAAGUAAAGUAUUUAUUUUUCAUAUUUAAAAUAAAGAUAUGAGCCUUUCAUGUAUAAAACAUCAUUCCAAUUUCUAAUUGUGCUAACAAAAAAUCAAUGCAUAAUUCUUGGUGAUUAUUAUAUAUAAUUACUAAGAAAUUUAAUAUUUAUAAUAAUGGGUUUUGAAUCUCGUAAGUCCUAACUAUUCAUCACUAAAAAUAUUGAAAGACAAUUCAAUUUUAUAUCCCUUAUAUUUUCAUAAAAAAGUAAGAGUCAUUCAUGUUCUCAUAAAAAUAUAUAUAAUUUAAUUGACAAAAUUUAUAUAAAUAAUUCAGAUUUUAAAAAUAUAGCAUUUUGGAUUUUAAAAAAAACAAACAAACAAAUAGAGGGAUCAAUACAAACAUUUUAUGAGGAAGCAAGGUCUCUAGGUGCAAGAACUUAUGCUUACCCAAUUGCUGUCAGGUCGAGGGGCAUCAAUGUCCUUGGAUCGUAGAUAUUCAUAAUCAAUCUCCUCCGAUAUGUCCUCAGCUUCAUAGACAGCGUGUUUAACAUCAUUAAGCCACUUCUUCACAGCACGAUUUGUAAUCUGCUUCUCCUCCGCAUCGUCGAGUAGUCCGUUGACAGUAUUCAGUGUUUCAUUCAGCUUUUCCAGAAGACCAUCAUCGAGUUUGUGGCUUUGGAAGAAGCCCAGAACCUCACGAGAGGCCAACCUGUCGACCAGAACCUCAAUGAGAGCAGAGAGAAUUGAUCCUCCGAUCAACUCCAGAGACAUGGUGGAUUUUUGCAGAAGGGUGAGGGUGGGAAUAUGUGAGAGAAAAGGAGUUGUGGAAAGCAGGAGCCUUGGUGGAUUUUUGCUAAAGGGUGAGAGAGUGAUUAUGUGAGAGAGAAUGAUAAGCCAAAUAGAAAACCCGAGGAAGCCGGCUUCGAGUGUGUUUGUCCUUGACGCAGUGUAUGCGUUUUCUCUCAAUGUAUAGAAAUGAUGGGCCCACUGCCCAAGGUUGGAACUUGGAUAUGAAAAAGAUUUUUUUUUUUCUGCUUUUUACAUGCUGGAUCACAGGUUAAACCUUCUUGAUCUGCUAAAAAAAACAUUCAAAAAUUAUCUUUGCAUCCUUUUUCUUUCUCCUAUCAUUCAUUACAAUUGCUUGUCUUUCUUUGAACAAUACAAUUGCCCAGAAAAUUCUGGUUUUGCUAUCAACAUGAUACAAUAGCAAUGAACAAGUCUAUUUCAUUAAAAAUUCAGAUUUGUAAUUUACUCGUAAACUAGUCGACUUAUCAGGUCAACCUGAAACUUGAAUGACUCGGUAAAAUACUAGUAAAGACCAUUUUCUUCAAAUGUAUUUUUUUCUCCUAUCUAGGAACCUUUUAUAUAUUUUAUUUUUUUUAUUUAGUUACUCAUUUCAAAAUUCACUAUAUAAAUAUUAGAAGAAUAUUUUAUUUUUUUAAUGUGAUAUUUUGAAGCCCUUUAAUAUAUAUACUUUAUGUUCUUCAAAAAAAAAUUAUGUUUUUUCAAAUGUAGAAUAAAAAACCUUUUUUGUUUAAAUACUUCAACUUAAAAAAAUAAGAUAGUAUAUUUUCAAAGUAGAAUAAAAAAUCUUUUGAAAUAAUCUUUUAAACUUAAUUGCUUACAACAUGUAUAGCCUAUAUCCAUAUAGAUUAUUUUUUAUUUUUUUAUAUAAAAUAUUAAAACCUCAUAUUUUUUUAAUUUUUCCUGAUUGACCCGAGUCAACCCAUGUAAACUAGGACCUAGCCCCUUAGUCGGGUUAAUCCUUAGGCUGAGUUUGAUAACCAUGAUUGUCAUGAGAAUACAACUUUAAAAAUGCAAUUAAAAAGAAAUAAAGUGAUGUGAACAGUUAAAAAAUCAAAUAAAUAGAUAAAACCUUUUCUUUUUUAUUUUAUUAAGGGCCUCUUUUAAUUAUUUUUUUUAUUAUGUGUUUAGAGAUAAAUUUAUGGACACUAAAAUCAACAUUUUUUAUUCUUGAAAUACAACUCACCAAAAUACCUUUUUAUAUAUAUCUAACGACUUUCUAUUUAUACUCAUGACAUCAAAAAAUUGAAAUACGAGGAGAAUGAAGUUUUAGAAUUAAAUAUAAAUAGCUAAAACUACAAGAAUAAAAGAAAAAACUUUAGGAACCCAAAUGAACUUUUAUGAGAAUUUCAAGGAUCAAAACUCAAUAUUCAGAUAGUAAAACGAGUGGGAAAUGAAGUUUAAAACUAAAAUGUAAACACAUAAAACUACUAGGAUUAAAAAUAUUUUUUUAAAAAACUUCAUUUGGUAUUACUCUUAGAACGUAAUUGGUACAAGGCUUAAAAAUAUGGGUGAAAUUAUCACAUAAAUAAUAAUUAUUAUUAUAAGAGCAAAUUUAAAAAGUGUAAAUGUUGGUUUUUAAAAAUGACUGAUGUAUUUGAACAGUUAAAUACUUGUGAAAAAAAGAGAGAAUAAUUUAAUAAUUAACUUCAACUUUUCCAUUAAUUAAUUAAGAUCUAAAAAAUCCAAAAAUUAUAAGUUUCUAAUAUAAAGUUAAAAAAUUUACAUAUAUAUAAAAAAGAUAUUUCAUAAAAUUCUAUUUUUUUUUAAUAAUUCACAGAAACUCAAUGCAAGACUUCAUAUGUUGAAUCUUCUCAUUAUCAACACUUUCAAAUAUAUCUUUUUUGAUAUAAGUAACCAAACAAUCAUUAAAUAAAUUAUCCCCAACUCGAUUGUGUAAUCGACUUUUGACUAAUUUCAACGUUGAAAAUAUUCUCUUUACUGAUGCAAUAACCACGCGUAAAAUUAAUGCUAAAUUUAUCACGUAAUAUAUGUUAUUUAUUAAAUUUAUUACUUAUAUAUUAAAAUGUAUGGGAUUUUCACCGUGUAUUUGUUAUUAUACAAUUUUUUUUUUCAGUUUAUCCAUGACAACUAGAGUGCCGAGCUCAAAAUGCUAGGGUCUGACAUAGUACCCGACCUAAUUACCAAACCCUAGAUUUGGUAACUAUGCAAGACCCAAGCAUCCCUUGCAAACAACUCCCAGCAAUAUUCAUAGCUUAUUGCAUUCAAGCGGUGAAAGGGGAUGACAGUUUGCGUGACUUUUGCUACAUCUUCUUCCCGUGUUGUCACGACAAUCUUACUUCCGUGCUCCACAUACCGCAAAGGUAGCAGUAGUUUAUCCCAUUCAUUGUACUUGAUGUUCCACGCGUCAUCUAGAACAGGUAGAAGUUUUUUCCCUUUCACUGCCUCCAUUAGAGAUUCAUCUGGUUCUUUGGUGCGGCAUGUACUUGCGUUGAUCUUAUCAAGAAUAUCCUGAAUAAUCCUGGCAACAUCAAAAUAGAUAACAACUACUGUAUAAAUAAUAAUUUUUAAAAUUUUUAAUUGAAAUCUAUUUUUUAAUCUAAUUAUUGGACACAUAUGAACAUUUUGACUCAUAAUUAAUUUUUUUAAAAAAAAUUCAUAAAAUUAUAAUUUUUAUGUGAAAUAAUCCACUGUUUAAUACAAUAAACUUCAAUUAAAUGACCAAUUAAGCUAGAUGAUUGAACUUUCAAUUAAUUUGUUAACUUGCGCUAACAUUUACCAAUGUUACUGUUUGAAAAUGUAAAAGUAAGCUAUUUCACUAAAAAAAAAUUUCGGUCUAGCAUCACUAAGCCACCUCUGCACAGCAGGCUUGGUAAUCUGUUUCUCCUCCGCGUCGUCGAGAAGUCCGUUGAGAGUAUUCAGUGUUUCUUUCAACUUUCCGAGAAGACCAUCAUUGAGCUUGUGGCUUUCGUCUCAUUUGCCCUGAAACCAAGCAUACGUUGUGGAAUUGAAAAGUAAGCAAGAGUUGCAAUAAAUCUCGUAAGUUAUGGAUUGAUUUGGUUCUACGAGGAUUAAUAUCACAACCAGCUUUGAAAAGCGAUAUGUUUUUGAUUUUUUGUUGUUUUUUUUAAAUGUUUUUUAAUUAAAAAUAUAUUAAAAUAAUAUUUUUUAUUUAUUAAUUAAAAAUAAAUUAUUUAAAAUAAAGAAAACAAUUAAAUUUUUUUUAAAAAAAAAAUUUAAAAUGUAAAAAUAAACAGCCUUGAAGAAGGUUUUUGAGAGUAUAGUAAUACUUGCUUUUAAAAAAAAAAAUUUGCUUAUGUGUGAGAGCUUCCCCAGCUCUUUCAUGCUAGACCCGCUCUCUUUUCCCACAAUGUAAUAUUCCAAAUAUCGAAGCUUUGUGAGUUUCGUUAUUUUUGGUGGCAUCUCUUCCAAAUUUGUCCCUUCAAUAUCAAGAUAUUGUAGGUUGACCAAGUUGGAAAUGUUGGAUGGCAACUCCAUGAGAUGUCGGCACUCUCUUAACAAUAGAGUUUGCAAAUAGUACAAGGUGCUCACACUUUCAGGUAACCUUUCAGUGGCGGUACAAGAAAGGUCCAAGUGCCGCAAAUGUUUUAAGUUGCCAAUGGAAUUGAGCAACUGAGAAGAAAUACUAAGGCCCCGUUUGUUUGCAGGAAAGUAAAUUCCUUUUGGAAAAUGAAUUCCGGGGAAAGUGAAUUCCUGGAAAGUGAAUUCCGGGAAAGUAUUUUCCGAUGUUUGGUAGUGUUAUAGAAAAUACUUUCCAGUGUUUGGUUGUGUUAUGAAAAAUAAAUUGGAAAAUAAUUUAUUAAUAAAUUAAUUUUUUUUUCAAAUUUAUCUAAUAUAUAUAAAAUAUUUAAUAUAAAAUAUUUAAUCACUUACAAUAAACAAAAUAAAAUCUAAAAUGUAUAAUGAUGAAUUUUUUUUAUUAUUAUAUUCUAUAUUCAUACAUAGCUUAUUUUAUAAAAUAUAACUAUAUAUAUCAUAUCAUAUUAUAAAGAAAUAAGCUUGUGAAAUAUUUUUUACUAUUCUAUGAAACCAUUUAUAAUUUCAUUACAUACGAAAUACAUCCGACAAAAACUAUAGUUUUAAUAAUAUUUUUAGCAUGUAAUAAAAUUGGAUAAAAUAUUAAGGUAUAAAAUUCACUCUAAACUAUUUUUUUUUAAUGUUAAAAAAAUAGCACACUUAUAUUUAUAUAUAUAUAUAAAAAAAAAAAAAAACGGAACAGUGCACUAAAACUGCACUGUUCACUCUUUUUUAGUGAACAGUGUAUGCAAUACACUGUUCAUUGUAAUUGCACUGUUCAAUGAACAGUGCAAUUACCAUGAACAGUUACAGAAAAACACGCAGCUGGCUCAGGAAAGUGUUUUCCGAGAAUUAAAAACGGAAAACACUUUCCUUAUGUUAAACUUAACAUUUUCCUUUGACUGGAAUUAACUUUCCUUUGACUAACUUUCCGGAUGGUUGCCAAACACUGGAAAAUGAGGAAACUGAAUUCCUGGAAUUCAGUUUCCUUGAAACAAACAAGGCCUAAGAGAACAAACAUAUAGACUUUUAAAGGAAAAGAAAAGAAGAAGAUUCAUGGAAGCCGGUUUUAAACUUCCUAACAAUAUUAAAUUAUUUAUAUUAUAUUCACACUUGGUAAAAUUACUAGCCACAACCUUCUUUGCCUCCACUAAUUUCUGAGCAAGAUCAUCGAUUCCUUUUUAUCUCUGGAAAUUCUUCACAAGAUCUCAGGUUAAGAAUAUAAGUUUCGAGUUGAUUAUAAAUUGUUACAAGCUUAACCAUGUAAGCCGGCCGUGCUGGCAUCCCUGACUGUUUGCCGGGGAUCAUUUUGUAAUGAUUUUCUCGUCGGACGUGAUCUUUCUUCUCUACUGUAUUAAUGAUGCAUCAUUUAGUACAAAUCUUUACAUCUUGAAAAGCACCGAUGAAAAUGCAUCUGAUGUUCUCUGAACGUGAAUCUACAAUGGCCUUCGGGCGGCAAUUUGGGUCCUACUUGUAUUGGCUUCUUCUGCUUUAUUUCCUUCUCUAAUAACAGGGGAUGUCCACAGAUUUUCCAUUACAGGACCUGAUCAUCACAUAUGCUUUGUUAUUUGAUAGCAAUUUUCCACUUCUGCGGUCCAUUCCUACCAUCUAUUUGAAAUCUGUGACAUCCCACCAGCUCUUGAAAAGAAGGGUGCAGUGCAGAACCCUACCAUUCUAUGAAAUGUUAGGAGAUGAGGUCAAGAUUUCUGAGUCAUGAAGUUGUCGAUUCUUGCGAAAGGGUGAGAGAGAGAGAAUGAUAGAAGUAGAAAGCUAAUAAACCACGGAAUUCCAUGAUGGGAACACGUGGACUUUAAAGGAAAGGAAGAGACAAGAAAACGCGUGGAAGCGGUAUGUAUAAAUAAAUUUGAUAAUCGAAUAAUAAAAAAGAUAAUUUAUGUGUUUAAUACAAUAAAUUUAAAAAUAUAUAAACAGUUAAACCGUAAAAAUUAUUAUGGAUUAAUUAUCUUCUUGUGGACAUCCAUAAAAUAUUAAUAAUAAGUUUUUUACAUGAGAAGAAUGAUAAAUGAUAAAUUAUAAAUUUAAUAUAUAUUAAAAUAAAAUUAACUUAAUUAGAUAUAUAAAAAUUGAUGAAAGAAAUAUUUUAUAAUAUAAGAAACAAAUCAAGUCGUUAAAUAGAUAAAAUGUUGAUAGCAACCAUAUUCAUUGCACAUUUAAAUUAAUCCUAGAAAUUUUAAAAGUUGUAGUUUAAUUGGUUAAAUUUUAGAUUUUUUUUAAAAAAUUACUGGUUUGAAUUUUAAAAUUUUAAAAUCAUUAAAAAUUUAUAUAAUUAUUAAUUUUAAAAUUUAUAAAAUUAAUUGAGAUAUUGGUGUAAAUAUCAAUAAUACGCUGCCGUGGAUAGCACAUAACUUGGUGCAUCGGAAGCACGAUGUUAAUUUCCAGAGCCACCAAUGAUGCGCCGCCGUGGAUAGCAAAGACGAGUUAAUUUUAGGACUCUUUUGACUAUUCUUCAUGCAAAUAUUUUUUAAAAAAUUAUAAAAUAUAAUUUUCAAUAUAAAAAUAAAUUGAUGUAUUGCCAAUGUGGAAACCCAAAGAAUAUACAACCUUGGUGAAAUUAACAGGUGAAUACGACCGUGCCCUUUCAUUUUUCCAUGCCAAACGCUCCAGAGAGCUAGCGUUCUCUUCUUUGGUUUAUUGACCGUGCAUGUCCCUUACAUAAGGGAAUUUUUAUUUUUGUGAUGUAAAAGUAUUUUUGAAAAAAAAUUAUUAUUUUUCAGUUUUAUUUCAAAUUAAUUUUCAAAAUGAAUCUUUAAUUGUGGCAUUCACUGGGUUCUUCAAGAAUUUAGCACAUGACAUGUUAAGUUUUCAGUAAUUAAAAAAAAAGGGCCAAAUGUUUUCACCUCGGGCCACACCGAAAUGAUAGGCAGGAUUGCCGUCACCGUCACGGGCAAGAAGGAUCCGACAUGUACAAUAUUAAAUUCAUGGAAGCCGGUUUAAAACUUCCUAACAAUAUUAAAUUAUUUAUAUUAUAUUUAGGGCUGGGUCACAAAAUAAAUUUUUUUAAAAAAACUAAAUUAAAAAAAAAAACUUAAAAGGCCAACAUUUCAGUUAUUUUAUUAUUUGAGCUGAAACUAUAAACAUUGUUAAAAAAAUUGUUGAAAAAAAUUUCCUUACAAGGCCGGAGUCGUUGCCUGCCUCCUAUCUCCGCCACUGAUCAUAUCCAUACUUGGUGCUCAAUGUAUUAAUCUUUUAUAUCAGCAUGAUUAAGGCAUCAUCAAGUGGAUUAAGUUUGGAUUGACUGUCUUCAAAUGGGCAUAAAUAAGAUAAGAAUAAUAAGUUUUCAUCCAUGCCUUUAAGAUGAAGGAUGGACCCGAGUUUUAAAGUAUAAAAUAAUAUAAAUAUAUAACUAAAUUAAUUAAGAUUUAAAAAAUCUAAAAAUUAUAAGUUUCUAAUAUAAAGCUUAAAAAUUUAUAUAUGUAUUAUAAAAAGAUGAUUUAUGAAAUUUUAUUUUUUUAUAAUUUAUAAUUGUUCUUUGUAAGAUUUUAUAUGCUGAAAACAUUGUAGGAUUUUCUCAUUAUUAACACUUUUAAAUAUAUCUUUUUUUAUAUAAUUAACCAUAAUCAAACAAUCAUUUAAUUAAUCAUACAAUCAUUUAAUCAAUCAUCUCUGAUUCGAUUGCAUAACCAGCUUUUAAUCAAUUUUAUCGCUGAAAAUAUUCUCUUUAUUGAUGAAGUGUUUUGUAUCCAUCAAUUUUUAAGCAAGAUCAUUUAUUCAUUUUACCUUUGUAAAUUCUUCACAGGAUCUCAUGUCAAGAAUAUAAGUUUCAAGUUGAUUAUAAGUGCUGCAAGCUCAACUAUGAAGAAAAUACAUGGAUAGAAUUAAGCAAGAUGAAUCAACUUUUGCUUAUCACAGGCCAUUAUUUGCCACUCCAACACUACAAAGGGAAAGACUCUUUUCCUUGGCCAACAAGCUAUAUUGGCUACAGUUUUGCCUCGGGUGUAUCAUUUAUUAUUAUUUUUUUUUUUACAAAAAAGUACUUUGAUGCUUUCAAAUUGAUUCAUCAACUUUUAUAUAUAUAUAUAUAUAUAUAUAUAUAUAUAUAUAUAUAUAUAUAUAUAUAUAUAUAUAUAUAUAUAUAUCUUUUAGAUCGUUUUGAUGCGCUAAUCUUAAAAAUAAUUUUUAAAAAUAAAAAAAAUAUCAUUUUAAUGUAUUUUAAUAUAAAAAAACUUUGAAAAACAAUUGUAAUUACACUACCGAAUACUCAUGGGAUAUAAAAUUGUGACCUCAGGGAACAAGUCAGCUUAUUGAGGAGAAGUAGAAAUAUGAGCAUUACAAAUCAAGCCUGCUUGAGCUUCCUCUAGGCAAUCAAGUUAAAGACUAAAUUUGAUGCAAAGUACAAAUCUUAAUAGAACUCGUUGAAAAUAAUUUAGAUAAUUUUUUUCUUAAUUUCCUUAUAUUGUUGGCAAAAAGUUUGCGAAAAGGUGGCAAACUUGUUCGCAAUACAGAGUUCCAAGUACAACAACACAUGCAAGCAAACAUCCGACUCUGUCAAGAUCUCUGGAUCUGUUGCUUGCACUGGGAUCAAACAUAUCAUUUUGGAUGUCCUGAUUUUUGAAAUGCUGCAUCGUUGGCCAGCAGUUAUCCCUUUCAGGUUUUACCUUAAUUUUCUUUUCACUUUGCCAGCAUCCUCAUUUCAUCCUGGCCAUAGGCCAUCUAUCGAGUUUAAUCCUGAACAUAGAUCCAUCAAGAAUAUAAUGCUAUUAGUAUUAAGCAUCUGUUAAAUAUUCUGAUCAAAGUUUUUCUUUUAAAUAUCUCAUAAAAUACCAUGUUAGCAAGAUCACUAUUGUUCUUGUUUUCAUUUCUUAAUAACUCUGCUUUGAAAACAGAAUCUCAAAUUACUUUAAACCUCAACAGAAAACAAUAAGAAAACAGGAAUUAUGAUCUUGGGCUGGCAUUUGCUGAUUCACUGUAAAUCAUGCCUUUGUUUUUGAACAAAUUGCUGGGAACCUAUCUCUACCUAAUGUGGUGAUGGGCUGUGCGGUGAAGAUCUGUUGUGUGAAAAUGCCAUGCUCCAAAAAUAGAAUUUAAAACAAAGCAGAUGCAAGGCAGAGAAUUUAGUAAAUACCGGAGCACGUUGGACAAAUGACAGGAGAGUGUUACUGCAUAAUUCUUCAUCCUCUAAUUAGAAAUUUUUAUACUGUGGAUGUGAGAAAUUUUGGGCCAAUUUUCCCCCGUCUCCCUUUCACACCUUGUGGCCAGCAAAGGACAACCGAUAAUCUUAAGAUAUUCAAGGGAGGAGGGCAGCCCUUCUUCUGGCAUGAACUCAAGCUUAGGAGAAUGCGAGAUCAACAAUUUGCGAAGAGAGGUGAAGUGUUGAAGCCCCGUAUAGUUCAGAGAUUUAAGAUUUCUGAGAUCUGAGAUUUGAAGAGAUUCAAGGGAGGAGGGCAGCCCCUCACCUGGCACGGACUCAAGCUUGGGAGAACUAGAGAUACGUAAUUUACGAAGGGAGGUGAGGUGCCGAAGCCCCUUAUAUUCCAGAUCUUCAAGAUUCAAGAUUUCAAGGUUUUCAAGGGAGGAGGGAAGCAUGUCUUCUGGAAGGGACUCCAGCUUAGGACUCUUGAGAAUCAAUGUGCGAAGAGAGGUCAGGUGCUGAAGCUCCUUGUAGUCCCGACCUCGUUGAUCCCAUAAUUGAAGGCAUUCAAGGGAGGGAGGCAGCCCCUGCAACGAUGCAAGCUUUGGACAAUUCCAGAUCUUCAAUUUGCGAAGAGAGGUGAUGCGCUGAAGCCCAUGGUUCCAGAGAUUCCAGUGUCAUGACAUGAAGGUAUUCAAGGGAGGAGGGAAGCGCCUGCUCUGAUAUGGACUCAAGCUUAGGGCAACCCUCGAUACUCAAUUUCCUAAGAGAGGUGAGGUGAUGAAGCCCCUUAUAGUCAAGAGACUUCAGAUUUCCCAGACGUUUGAUUUUAAGGGUUGUGAGAGUAGAGGGCAACGUCUCCUCGUCAAAAGACUCCACAUCGUUCCCAGUAAAUCUGAAGCAUGAAAGAGAAGGGAGUGCUUGCAAACCACAUACCUUGAGCUUGAUACAAUCCACAAUGCAAAGUGUGUGUAAUUUGGAGGGUAAGGCCUCCUUCAGGAAACGAAUCAACUUCUGGAAGUGAUCUCAAUUGCAAAUCCUCAAGGGAAGGGAGGAGGGAAUGCAUGUUUUCUGGCAAAGACUUCAAAUAUAAGCAACCCUCUAACACAAGGCUUGUCAAAUCUGGGGCAGCUAGUCCUUCUCGGGGGAAAGACACCAAAUUAGGACAGUGUCUGACAGUCAAAUGACGGAGACCAGGAAGAGAUCUCUCGCCUAUACAAAGAGAUUCGAGAUUGAGACAUUGUUUGACUGUAAGUGUGGAUACCUGGGGUAAAAGGUCUAGCCGGCAGGAGUUAAAUGAACUACAUCUAUCGAUUUCAACAUCUGUGAAAGAAGAGGGAUCCACAUGACUCAUUUGCUCCAUUCCCUUCAGUUGGGGAUAUUCUCUAAAUUGAAGGCACCGCCCACCGCCAUAUAAUACCGAUGCAUUUAUACGACCACUAGAACCAUCAAAUACAUUGAUUUCGGUGAGCAAUGGAGCCUCUGGAAUUGAAACCACAAGCUGUGGACACGCUCUAAUCUCAAGUAUCAAUAAAGAAGGAAGGUGAUUAGGCAAGCCAUUUGUUAACUCGGGACAACCUGCUAUCAAGAGCUUUGCAAGAUGAGGGAAAGCACCAGCUACAUCUGUAUUCCAUUCCUGCCAUUUUUUCAUCCCCUCGAACUUUAAUAUUUUGAGGGAUUUAAAUGGCUUCUCCAUCAAAGAGUCACUCCCAUAGAACUCAGAGCCAACCGCCACGACUUCAUCAAAUCCUUUAAUUUGGAGCUCUUCUAGAGAUGAAAGCUGCCCCAUUGGUGGUAAGGAGAUGCAGUUCUUACAUCCAGAAAGUGUCAACGCUACCAUAUUUGAGAAGGAAGAGUUUCCAAACCAACCUGGAAACAUCGUACCCCCAUAACCAGUAAUGACAAGAUGUUUCACAUUUUCAGAAGGCUCCAAUUUCUCAAGCACGUCUCUCUCAUGUUGUGUGUCAUCCGUAUUACCACCCCAUAUCAACCUCAGCUUCUCAAUCUUCUUCUUACCCUUCAAAUUGGCAUCCAAAGCAUCUUGAGCAUUUGCGACAUCUCUGAGAUUCCGAAUAGAAAGUUUUCUCCUUAUAUGUGAGAGCUUCCCCAGCUCUUUCAUGCUAGACCCGCUAUCUUUUCCCACAAUGUAAUAUUGCAAAGUUCGAAGCUUCGUGAGUUUCCCCAUUUUUGGUGGCAUCACUUUCAAAUUUGUCCCUUCAAUAUCAAGAUGUUGUAACUCGACCAAGUUCGAAAUGUUGGAUGGCAACUCCAUGAGAUGUCGACACUCUCUUAACAACAGAGUUUGCAGAUAGUACAAGGUGCUCACACUUUCGGGCAACCGUUUAAUUAAUGUCUGAGAAAGGUCCAAGUGCCGCAAAUGUUUCAAGUUGCCGAUGGAAUUGGGCAACUGAGAAGAUUUAUAGCUCCACCGAUAUAAAGAUAGCGUUCGCAAGCGCUUAAGAUUUGUCAACAUGUCAUUCAGCACCCCACUAUCAAUCCCCCCCACGUAUGUUAGUGGAGACAAGGUGCGCAAAUGUUGGACUCCAUGAAUGCGAGGAAAUAUCUUAGAGACCCCAUCAUAUAGUGUUGAAGUGAUUGAUAAAUGACGAGUCCUUUCUGGAAGCGUGCAUGAAUUUUCACCCUCCAACCAGAGCCCGAUUCUCCAUCCAUAACAAACUUAAAGCAGAAUUCUCCUGACAUGUAUUCAGCUAGAUCACUUGUGAGGUCGUGCAUGCUGAAAUAUGAUGGGGCGUAAAGUGAUUGCUGAAACAAUGACCUAGAGACAAGGUCAUUGAAGUAUUUGUCACCUAUUUCUUCCAUCUCCUCAACACCUCUGGACUGGACUAGAAAACCUUGUGCCAUCCAUGAAGUGAUUACUUGAUUCUUCUCAAAUACAUAACCCUUGGGAAAUAUUGCACAAUAAGCAAAACAACGUUUGAGGUGUGAAGGGAGAUAAUAAUAGCUCAAUGUUAGAGCUGGAGGGAUGUUUUCAUUCGACAAACCCCACAUGUUGCUAUUGGAUAUCUUCUCCCAUUCCUUGACAUCUCCUUCGGAAUGCAAAAGACCCCCAAGAGUUUUCGCUGCCAGCGGUAAACCUUUGCACUUUCUCGCUAUUUCUCUGCCAAAUGUUUCCAAGUGUGAGAAUGCUCCAGAAUUUGCACUGCUAAAUGCAUGCCUUGCAAACAACUGCCAGCAAUCUUCAUCGCUGAUUACAUUCAAGCGGUGAGAGGGGAUGACAGUUUGCGUGACUUUGCUACAUCUUCAUUCCGUGUUGUCACGACAAUCUACUUCCAGGCUCUGCAUACUGCAAAGGUAGCAGUAAUUUAACCCAUUCAUUGUACACAAUGUUCCACGCAUCAUCUAGAACAAGUAGAAGUUUUUUCCCUUUCAAUGCCUCCAUUAGAGAUUCAUCUGGUUCUUUGGUGCCGCAAGUACCUGCGUUGAUCUUCUUAAGAAUAUCAUCAACUAUCCUGGUGACGUCAAAUUGUUGAGAAGCCCAGACCCAGGCUUUGAGCUCGAAGCACUCAUCUACCCUUCUGUCUUUGUAGAUAAGCUGAGCAAGAGUGGUUUUACCAACCCCUCCCAUGCCCACAAUAGGAAUCACACCUACAUUUGCACCAUCUGUAUUGUUUUUUGUCAACAAGUACUUCAUUAUGGCUUCCUUAUCAGCUUCCCUUCCAUAUACAUGAGAUUCAUCAACCACAGGAGUUGUUUUCUCUGACAAUGGUCUCCAUCCACCAGUACCUUCUAUGUGGCGCAGAUCACCCUUGUGUUUAACUAAACGCUCAAGCUUCUCAUAGAUCUUUUGCAACUCUGCUUCCAUCUCUUUCAUCCUUUUAUUAGCUGGAUUAAGAAUUGGAAACAAAUUCCUUACCUGCAAUGGCGGAACAUAUCCAUGUAUAUGAGAUAGAAUUUAGGAACAUAUAAAUACUAAAAUUAUUAAACUCGUACCGAGUAAGUUAACACAGCUGCAAUGAUGUUUUUUUAUAAAAAAUAAAAAAAUUAAAAUGAGAUUAUUUUUUUAAAAAAAGUUAAGUCUAACCAAGAUUCUAAUGAGAUGAUAGGAUGGUGAAUUAACCCUCCAGGUUACUAAAAAUUGAAAGAUAAAUUCAGCAAUUAGCACAGUAAACAUAAAAAAGUGAUGCAAUGAUAUUUUUUUGAAAAAGCUUUUGAAAAAUAGUAUAUUUUCACCUUCUCACACCUAAGAAAAGCAAUAUUUACUAAAUUUUAUUAUUACUAAGCAUGACAAGAUAGUUGUCGUACUUCGGAAUAGCAACAUUUAGUAAAUAUUGUGUUUUUAAAGAGCGUUAAAGUGAAACUUCAAUCAUCUGAAUCAAUUAAUUGACCUGUUUAUAAUGGUUAGUGAAAUCGGUUGACCAAUCUUGAAAAUGAUAAGAAAAAUCUCAAAAAUACCAAAAUCAAGGGGCCUCGAUGAGAUUUUUGAUAUCUAGAGAUUUGAUAGUUUACAUAACGACAUAGUGGCUACAAUAGGGAAGAUGAUUUUUGAAAACUUCUAUACAAGUUUGAGUGCGAUCUAACAGUCUAAUAAAAAAAUAUAGCUUUUUUAGUUGUUAUUCUGGUAUGGCGGAACCAGAUCUCCUCUUGAGCCUUAAACUAUCUCAUCGGUCCGUAAAUGCAUUUGUUAGAUCAUACACGUAAUUCGUUUAGGAUAAAUUCUCAUUUAGUUAUGAUAGACACACACAUGGCUAUUUAGAAUCACUUGUUAUCACAAGUCUUUAUACAUCAUUGACAUUGAAAAAUAGAUAAUAAUUACUGUGUGAAUAAUAAUUUUUUAAAAUUUUAAUUGAAAUCUAUUUUUUUAGUCUACAUAUUGAACACAUAUAUAUUUUGACUCAUAAUUAAUAUUUGAAAGAAAAAAUUCAUAAAAUUAUAGUUUUUAUGUGAAAUAGUCGACUAGUUAAUACAACUGAAUCCAAUCAACCGACCAGUUGAACAACAUUUACUAAAUGUUGUCAUUUGAAAAUGUGAAAAUAUGCUAUUUCAUAUUUUUCUUUUUCAAUCGGUGUUAUUAUACCAAUAUUUAACAUUUGUUGUGCUAAUUUAAAAAAAAAAUGAAUGGUCAACUUUGAUUUUUUAAAAAAAAAAAUAAUUCAAAUUCUAGAUUGAACAUGUUUUAAUUAAGUUGACAGCUGGGCCAAGCCAGUGGUUGGAAUUUGUUGGAAUAAUAAUGAGUAGUGGUUGCAGGAGAGUAUCAUAGGAUUGGUUGCAUGAGAUAAAUUAGCAUCAUUGGGUGUUGUUUGCAUGAAAUAUUUCAAGAAAAGAUAUGAAAUUUUCUGAUAUUUUACAAUUUCGAAUUGUGCUUGUAAAAAUCAGAGGGAUCGAUACUAACAUUAUACGAGAAAGGCAAAAACAUAUGCUUACCGGAUUCCUCACACGUCGAGAGGCAGCUUUAAUAUCCUUGGAUCGUAGAUGUUCAUAUUCAAUCACCUCCAUUAAGUCCUCAGCUUCAUACACAGCAUGUCUAGCAUCAUUAAGCCACCUCUGCACAGCAGGCUUGGUAAUCUGCUUCUCCUCCGCGUCGUCGAGAAGUCCGUUGAGAGUAUUCAGUGUUUCUUUCAACUUUCCGAGAAGACCAUCAUUGAGCUUGUGGCUUUUGAAGAAGCCCAGAAUCUCAGGAGUGGUCACCUUCUCGCCAGAACCUCAAUGACAGCGGAGAGAAUUGAUCCUCCAAUGUACUCCACAGCCAUGAUGGGAUCUUCCAGAGAAUUGGAAGGAAGCAGAAGCAAAGAAUUGUAGAGAAGAAGAUAGUGAAGAGAACAAGACGUUUAACGAAUGGAAAAGGAAAGAAAAAUCAAAGUAAGUACGCGGGUUCUCAGUUGACUUCACAGCUCAGCCACUCGAAACUAUUGACCCCAGAUUAUCACUAUACAAUUCAUCGGAUACCCUACGAGUUCAGAAAAGACAGUUUCUAAGCUCGAGUGAGAGUAACCUUUGAAUAGUUUCUUAAUUUUUAAUAAAAAAAUCUAAAUUUUUUAAAAACACAUAUUGACUUGCUUUUCUAAACGUUUUAUCUUCGUAAUCUCAGGUAGGAAGCCCACAGGAAUUUGCAUAGGCAGCAAGGAUCAAGGGAGACAGCUGGGAACCUUGACCUCAAAGACCCAAAUAUUAAUUUUAAUUUCUCAAUUUCUUUCCAAGUAUUUAAUAUUGCAUCACUCUCCCACUCUACCGAGUCGUUCCUCGAAUCUUCUCAAGGAAAAGGAUUUAAAAAAGAAAAACACAAUUUAUUAGCACAGAUUGUUUUGUCGGCCAAGAAAAGCAACCGUGAUAAGUGGGGAAGUUAUCAUUUUCUUACUUUUGUGGUGUAAAAUUAUUGAUAUGAAGCUAUCUGGUCAAUUAUCAAAUUAACAAACAAUCUUCCUUUGACGUUGACUUGUCGUCUCAUUUGCCUGAAACCAAGCAUACGUUGUGGAAUUGAAAACUAAGCAAAGUUGCAAUAAAUCUCGUAACUUAUGGAUUGAUUUGGUUCUACGAAGGAGUAAUAUCACAACCAGCUUUGAAAAAGGUGUUGUUUUCGUAGCAUUUAUUUUUUAAAAUAUUUUUAAUUAAAAAUAUAUUAAAAUAAUAUUUUUUAAAUUUUUUAAAAUUUAUUUUUAAUAUUAUUAUAUUAAAAUGAUUUGAAAACAUAAAUUAUUUAAAAUUAAAAAAAAUAAUUUUUUUAAGAAUAAUUUUGAAAUGUAAAAACAAACGUUGAAGGAGGUAUUUGAGAGCAUUAUAGUGGUUAUUUUACUUUAAAAAUAUAUUAAAAUAAUAUUUUUUAUUUUUUAAAAUUUAAUUUUUACUUCAACACAUCAAAACAAUGCAAAAUUAUAAAAAAAUAACCUUCAACAAAAAUAGUUUAAAUUUUAACGAAGAACCCGCAAUUCUAAGUGGGACAAAAUAUAACAAUGCAAGGGAAAAAGGCUGUCAAGUGUGGCAAGGCAGAGUUCCGAAUAUGACAAUAAAGGAAAGCAAACAUCCGACUAUCUUUGUUGUGGCUCCGAAUGGAUCUGUUGCUCGGAUAGGGGAAUGUAGCAUUUCGGCUAAAUUAAACUUAAUUUUUCUUUAAUUAAGUUAAUUAAACUUAUUAAAUUUUUAAUUAAAUCAUUGAAUUUAAUUAAUCCUUUUAAUUUUGAUCAAAUUAACUUUUAAAAUUAAUUUUACUAUGGUUUAAGCUAUUAAUUAAAUUAAUAAGACCCAUUAAAAGUUCAAUUAAGUUUCUAAACUUAAUUAUUUUGCAAGUCUGCCCAAUACUCAAUAAUAAGACCCAUAGUUAAAAAAAAAUGCAAACAGUGCCAUUCUAAUAGAGGUGAGGUAAUGAAGCCCCUGGUAUUCAGGGGAUGAGGGCAGCCACGACUUCAUCAAAUCCUUUAAUUUGGAGCUUUUCUAGAGAAGGCAGCUGCCCAAGUGGUGGCAAGAUGCUGCAGUUCUCACAUCCAGAAAAUGUCAACUUUACCAUAUGUGAGAAAGAAGACUUUCCAAGCCAGCUUGGAAACGCUGUACUCCCGUAACCAUAAAUGCAAAGAUGUUUCACAUUUUCAGAAGGCUCCAAUCUCUCAAGUACUUCUCUCUCGUGCCGUGUGCAUGUCAUCCGUAUUGCCAUCCCACAUCAACCUCAACUCCUCAAUCUUCUGCUUACCCUUCAAAUUGGCAUCCAAAGCAUCUUGAGCAUUUGCAACAUCUCUGAGAUUCCAAAUAGAAAGUUUUUUCAUUAAACGAGAGAGCUUCCCCAACUCUUUCAUGCUAGACCGACUAUCUUUUCCCACGAUGUAGUAUUCCAAAAUUCGACGGUUUGUGAGUUUCUCCAUUUUUUGUGGCAUCUAUUCCAAAUUUGUCCCUUCAAUAUCAAGAUGUUGUAAGUCGACCAAGUUGGAAAUGUUGGAUGGCAACUCCAUGAGAUGUCGGCACCUCUUUAACAAUAAACUUCGCAAAUAGUACAAGGUGCACACACUUUCGGGGAACCUUUCAAUGGCGG